GGGGAUUUAGCUCAAUGGUAGAGCGCUUGCCUAGCAAGCGCAAGGCCCUGGGUUCGGUCCCCAGCUCCCA
rnacentral:tRNA from 1 species